GACGAACGCUGGCGGCGUGCCUAAUACAUGCAAGUCGAGCGAAGUUUUUCUGGUGCUUGCACUAGAAAAACUUAGCGGCGAACGGGUGAGUAACACGUAAAGAACCUGCCUCAUAGACUGGGACAAGUAUUGGAAACGAUAGCUAAUACCGGAUAACAGUAUUUCUCGCAUGAGAGAUAUUUAAAAGUUGGUUAUGCUAACACUAUGAGAUGGCUUUGCGGUGCAUUAGCUAGUUGGUGGGGUAAAGGCCCACCAAGGCGACGAUGCAUAGCCGACCUGAGAGGGUGAUCGGCCACACUGGGACUGAGACACGGCCCAGACUCCUACGGGAGGCAGCAGUAGGGAAUCUUCCGCAAUGGGCGAAAGCCUGACGGAGCAACGCCGCGUGAGUGAAGAAGGAUUUCGGUUCGUAAAGCUCUGUUGUUAGGGAAGAAUGGAUAUGUAGUAACUAUACAUGUAAGAGACGGUACCUAACCAGAAAGCCACGGCUAACUACGUG
rnacentral:rRNA from 1 species